AUCAGGCUCAGGAUGAACGCUGGCGGCGUGCCUAAUACAUGCAAGUAGAACGCUGAAGCUUGGUGCUUGCACCGAGCGGAUGAGUUGCGAACGGGUGAGUAACGCGUAGGUAACCUGCCUCUUAGCGGGGGAUAACUAUUGGAAACGAUAGCUAAUACCGCAUAAAAGUCGACAUUGCAUGAUGUUGACUUGAAAGGUGCAAUUGCAUCACUAAGAGAUGG
rnacentral:rRNA from 1 species